rnacentral:snoRNA from 1 species
AUCCCAUGAUGAGGACCUGCGGUGACGUACUCCUGCAGACGCUCCCAAGCUUCUGGUAUGGAUCCUCCUUCAUCUGCUGGAAAUUGGAAAUUCUCCCGCGAAGGGC